GUAGGUGAACCUGCGGAAGGAUCAUUAUAGAAUUAUAAGUGAGGGUUGUCGCUGGCCUUUCGGGGCAUGUGCACGCCCGAGCUCUUAAAUCCACAACACACCUGUGAACCCACCGUAGGCCUUCGGGCUUAUGCAUUUAUACUCUGUAUGUGUCAUAGAAUGUCAUGUUGCAUUAAAAAUGCAAUUAAAUACAACUUUCAACAACGGAUCUCUUGGCUCUC
rnacentral:misc_RNA from 1 species